rnacentral:rRNA from 1 species
GACGAACGCUGGCGGCGUGCUUAACACAUGCAAGUCGAACGGUGAAGCGCCUUCCUUUUUGGUGGGUGUGGAUGAGUGGCGAACGGGUGAGUAACACGUGAGUAACCUGCCCCCUUCUUCUGGAUAACCGCAUGAAAGUGUGGCUAAUACGGGAUAUUCUGGGUCUGUCGCAUGAUGGGUCUGGGAAAGAUAUUGUUUCGGUGGGGGAUGGGCUCGCGGCCUAUCAGCUUGUUGGUGGGGUGAUGGCCUACCAAGGCGGUGACGGGUAGCCGGCCUGAGAGGGUGGACGGCCACACUGGGACUGAGACACGGCCCAGACUCCGACGGGAGGCAGCAGUGGGGAAUAUUGCACAAUGGGCGCAAGCCUGAUGCAGCGACGCCGCGUGAGGGAUGGAGGCCUUCGGGUUGUGAACCUCUUUCGCCAGUGAAGCAGGCCUGCCUCGUUUGUGGGUGGGUUGACGGUAGCUGGAUAAGAAGCGCCGGCUAACUACGUG